GUGACCUGAGGCUGGGCACUUGGAAAGAGGUGGAACGUGCAAACCAUAUACGCAGCUCUGGAGAGCAUCUCAGGGUGAUGGAAGCACAGAGCAGGAAGACAGCAUUUGGCAGGCCAGAAGCAAAGAGCAUGGGAAAGGAUAUCCAAGCAUUGAUAAGAACUGUGUUCAAAUAGUGGAAAUGUCAGUGACCAUUACAGAGUGACCUUUGGGUCUCCCUGCAAGUCCCUAACAGCUCUCCACAGAAUCACUUGUUGAAAUUGCCAAUGCAAUAAAUUGUUUUGUUUCCCAAA